UUUGGAGGGGGUUAGCGUUGUUCGGAAUUACUGGGCGUAAAGCGCACGUAGGCGGGCUGUUAAGUCGGGGGUGAAAUCCCGGGGCUCAACCCCGGAUCUGCCUUCGAUACUGGCAGCCUUGAGUUCGAGAGAGGUGAGUGGAACUCCGAGUGUAGAGGUGAAAUUCGUAGAUACUCGGAGGAACACCAGUGGCGAAGGCGGCUCACUGGCUCGAUACUGACGCUGAGGUGCGAAAGCGUGGGGAGCAAACAGG
rnacentral:rRNA from 1 species